GACGAACCGAGCGAACGUUGUUCGGAAUCACUGGGCUUAAAGGGCGCGUAGGCGGGCUGCCAAGUCCGUGGUGAAAUCCCCCGGCUCAACCGGGGAAGGGCCUCGGAUACUGGCGGCCUCGAGGGGGUAGGGGCGUGCGGAACUGUGGGUGGAGCGGUGAAAUGCGUUGAUAUCCACAGGAACUCCGGUGGCGAAGGCGGCACGCUGGACCCCAUCUGACGCUGAGGCGCGAAAGCCAGGGGAGCGGAACGGG
rnacentral:rRNA from 1 species